CGCGGACGCGAUCCGAUAGAUAGAAUUAGAAGUAGAGCGGACGAGCGAGUUCGAAAGUGAGAACCGAUCAGUUCGACGGGCGUCGCCCAUCGGCUCGUUUUUUUCCUUCUUCGAUCCUAGACAUUAUGUAAGCGGAAAAAGAAAUCUCGAACAAAAGAGGUUGUUUCUCUUCCCAAAUCUUGUUGGGUUUUCCUCCUCUUCCCUCCCCAUUCCUUCUGGUAUUCGGAAAGAGUUCAAAUUCCUCGCUUUCUGCGUUCUUUUAGACUGAAUCACCCUCCUCCUUUCUCCGAAUCGGCACCGAAAUUCUUUGGUUCUGGAUUCGGAUAGCGCUGGGGCUUUGGUCAAUUAAUCUCAGAUCAUGUUCAGUUCUUCCGAUUGAUGCGUUUUUAGACGAUUUGGUCAGGAGGGUUUUAUUGUUUCUGGGUUAUAGGUUUGGAUUCUUGGCGUUCUUGAUGGAUCUUUGUUUGGUCAAUGAGAUGCCCAUCUCAAUGCGUUGCUCCUCUCUGGGAUUUGAGGGCUCUUGAUCUCUGCGGGACUGGGUUUCUUGGGUCCGGGAAUAGAUUCUUGUGGUUGAGGGAUUUGGAGGAGCCAUGUUCUGGAGGGAGAGGAGGGGAAGGGACAGCAGAGAGCAGAACGGCGGCCCUCCUUGCGGCCAAGUCCGGGUCCUCGUCGUCGGAGAGCCUGGUGUUGGAAAGACAUCACUAGUGCAUCUAAUUGUAAAGGGUUCUUCGAUUGCUCGACCAUCUCAGACAAUAGGAUGUACAGUGAAUGUGAAGCAUAUUACUUAUGGAAGUGCUGGCAGCUCUUCUAAUAGCAUAAAAGGUGAUGCAGAAAGGGACUUCUUUGUUGAGCUUUGGGAUGUCUCGGGACAUGAACGGUAUAAGGAUUGCCGAUCUCUUUUUUAUGCACAAAUCAAUGGCGUUAUAUUUGUUCAUGAUCUCUCCCAAAGGAGGACAAAGACAAGCUUGCAUCGGUGGGCAGCAGAGAUUGCAGCAACUGGGACGUUUUCAGCACCACUUGGAUCUGGAGGGCCUGGAGGUCUUCCUGUUCCUUACCUGGUUAUCAGUAACAAAGCUGAUAUUGCUGCCAAGGAGGGCAUCAGGGGAAGCAGUGGAAACCUUGUUGACGCCGCUCGCCAGUGGGUUGAAAAGCAGGGCCUACUUGCAUCUAGCGAAGAACUUCCUUUAACAGAGAGCUUCCCAGGCAGUUCAGGCCUUAUCACAGCUGCCAAAGAAGCUAGAUAUGACAAAGAAGCUUUGAUUAAGUUUUUUCGCAUGUUGAUCAGGAGAAGAUAUUUUUCUGAUGAACUACCUGCACCAAAUCCAUGGUCUGUAGCUGCCCUGCAGAACUCCGUCCAGAGGUUGGAUGAGAUUUCAAGUGAUGAUGAUCAAUUUCAAAAGAAUUUAAGUUUAAAUAGUGAGAGCUACAAGUACAAUGUGCUCCCCCCUCUCCCUGCUCAAAGAAACCUAACGCCACCUCCCACGCUCUAUCCGCAGCAGCCAAUGUCUACAUCUGAGAAUUACAGCUUCCAGAGAUCUUCAGCAUCUAGUUUGCCUGUUGGCAGCACCAGAUCGAGGCGAGCUGAUAUCAAUGUCUGACUAAAAUCUGACCACAGUUGUCUUCAAUUCAGGAGGAGACUGCUGCAUGGUGUGCAGAAUUACGGAUACCAGAAAGCAAUUUCAGCAGCUGCUGAAGAUGUAUGUGGUGGGAUUCUUACUGUUGCAUUUGAUGAAAUUGCUUGCGAUGUGCUCUCUAGUUUGGAGUUGAUCUGCAUGCUCUGUGUGACUUUCAUCAUGGCCCUAGCUAUGCUGCUUGGAUUUUUGAUCAUUAGAUCUAUCUUAUGGAAAUUGCCAUUGAUUCGUUUACAGAUGUUCUUGCUAAAAGUAAAAUACUUGGUUGUUUGUAAGACGGAAAUAAACAGACCAUCUUUUCUCGUUACUCUUUUUGCAUCCUU